AUCGCUUCUCGGCCUUUUGGCUAAGAUCAAGUGUAGUAUCUGUUCUUAUCAGUUUAAUAUCUGAUACGUCCCUCAGCUAGGGACCAUAUAGUAAAUUGAUUUUUGGAACAGGGAGAUGGAAUAGGGGCUUGCUCCGUCCACUCCACGCAUCCCAGGUUAUUUCAAAAAAUUCAAAUUCGGCCACGACUAAA